GCAUAUCAAUAAGCGGAGGAAAAGAAACUAACAAGGAUUCCCCUAGUAGCGGCGAGCGAAGCGGGAAGAGCUCAAAUUUAUAAUCUGGCACCUUCGGUGUCCGAGUUGUAAUCUCUAGAAGUGUUUUCCGCGUUGGACCGCACACAAGUCUGUUGGAAUACAGCGGCACAGUGGUGAUACCCCCGUACACGGUGCGGACGCCCAGCGCUUUGUGAUACACUUUCAAUGAGUCGAGUUGUUUGGGAAUGCAGCUCAAAUUGGGUGGUAAAUUCCAUCUAAAGCUAAAUAUUGGCGAGAGACCGAUAGCGAACAAGUACCGUGAGGGAAAGAUGAAAAGCACUUUGGAAAGAGAGUUAACAGUACGUGAAAUUGUUGGAAGGGAAACGCUUGAAGUCAGACUUGCUUGCCGGAGCUUGCUUCGGUUUGCAGGCCAGCAUCAGUUUUCCGGGGUGGAUAAUGGUGGUUUGAAGGUAGCAGCCUCGGCUGUGUUAUAGCUUUCCACUGGAUACAUCCUGGGGGACUGAGGAACGCAGCGUGCUUUUUGCGAAGGUUUCGACCUUUUCACGCUUAGGAUGCUGGUGUAAUGACUUUAAACGACCCGUCUUGAAA
rnacentral:rRNA from 1 species